rnacentral:rRNA from 1 species
AGAUACCCUAUUAUUUAGAAUGUAAAUUUUUUUUAUUCCAGAUUAGUAUUAGUUAUGUUCUUGAAAAUUAAAGAUUUUGGCGGUAUUUUAUUCUAGUCAGAGGAACCUGUCCUGUAAUCGAUAGUCCACGAUAAAUUCAACUUUUUUUUUGUUUUCAUAUCGUCGUAGUUUGAAUAUUUUAUAAGAGUUUUAAUGUUCAUGAUUUUUAUUAGAAAAUAAAUCAGAUCAAGGUGUAGCUUAUAAAAAAGUUAGAGAUGGGUUACAUUAUUAAUAUUUAGGGGAUUGUUUAUUUAAAUAUAAACAUGAAUUAGGAUUUGAUUGUAAUUUUAAUUAUUUUAUUAGUGUGAAAAUAGCUCUAAAAUAUGCACAUAUCG